rnacentral:rRNA from 1 species
CUCGGCUAACUACGUGCCAGCAGCCGCGGUAAUACGUAGGAGGCAAGCGUUAUUCGGAUUUACUGGGCGUAAAGCGGGCGUAGGCGGUUUUUCAAGUCGGAUGUAAAAUCUCCCGGCUUAACUGGGAGGGACCAUUCGAUACUGUUGAACUAGAGGGCAGCAGAGGGAGGUGGAAUUCCCGGUGUAGUGGUGAAAUGCGUAGAUAUCGGGAGGAACACCAGUGGCGAAAGCGGCCUCCUGGGCUGUACCUGACGCUGAGCCCAAAAGCGUGGGGAGCGAACAGGAUUAGAUACCCUGGUAGUCCACGCCGUAAACGAUGGACACUAGGUAUGGGGAGUAUCGACCCUUUCUGUGCCGAAGCUAACGCGUUAAGUGUCCCGCCUGGGGACUACGGCCGCAAGGCUAAAACUCAAAGGAAUUGACGGGGGCCCGCACAAGCAGCGGAGCGUGUGGUUUAAUUCGAUGCAACGCGAAGAACCUUACCAAGGCUUGACAUGUCGGAAGUAGCAACCCGAAAGGGAAGCCACCUGUUAAGUCAGGAGCCGAUACAGGUGCUGCAUCGCUGUCGUCAGCUCGUGCCGUGAGGCGUUAGGUUAAGUCCUGUAACGAGCGCACCCCCCAUUGUCAGUUAUUUUUUCUGGCGAGACUGCCACGCAAAACGGGGAGGAAGGCGGGGAUGACGUCAAGUCAGCAUGGCCCUUAUGCCUUGGGCUACACACACGCUACAAUGGGUGGUACAAUGGGUAGCAAGGGAGCGAUCCGGAGCCAAUCCAAAAAGCCAUCCUCAGUUCGGAUUGCAGGCUGAAACUCGCCUGCAUGAAGUCGGAGUUGCUAGUAACCGCAGGUCAGCAUACUGCGGUGAAUACGUUCUCGGGCCUUGUACACACCGCCCGUCACGUCAUGAAAGUCGGCAACACCUGAAGUCGAUGGGCUAACUCCAACUUGUUGGGGAGGCAGUCGCCGAGGGUGGGGCUGAUGAUUGGGACG